rnacentral:rRNA from 1 species
GACGAACGCUGGCGGCGUGCUUAACACAUGCAAGUCGAACGGUAAGGCCCUGCUUACUGGGUACUCUAGUGUCGAACGGGGAAGUAACGCGUGGUUGAUCUGCCCUGCACUUCCUGCUAAGCCUGGGAGACUAGGUCUAGUACCGGAUAGGUGCUAUUUUUUGUGAGUUUGUUGGAAAGUUUUUUCGGUGUAGGAUGAGCUGGCGGCCUAUCGGCUUGUUGGUGGGGGAAUGACUUACCAAGGUGGCGACGGGUAGCCGGCCUGAGAGGGUGGACGGCCACCUUGGGACUGCGGUACGGCGCAGACGGGUACGGGCGGCAGCAGUGGGGAAUCUUGCACAAUGGGGGCACGCCUGAUGAAGCGGCGCUGCGUUGGGGAUGAUGUCUUUCGGGUUGUGAACACCUAUCGCUAGGAAUGAAGCUUUUUUGACGGGAACUAAGAAAAGAGACACGGCUAACUUCGGG